rnacentral:rRNA from 1 species
CUGAACCAGCCAAGUAGCGUGAAGGACGACUGCCCUAUGGGUUGUAAACUUCUUUUAUAAAGGAAUAAAGUCGGGUAUGUAUACCCGUUUGCAUGUACUUUAUGAAUAAGGAUCGGCUAACUCCGUGCCAGCAGCCGCGGUAAUACGGAGGAUCCGAGCGUUAUCCGGAUUUAUUGGGUUUAAAGGGAGCGUAGAUGGAUGUUUAAGUCAGUUGUGAAAGUUUGCGG